rnacentral:rRNA from 1 species
AGCGAACGCUGGCGGCAGGCUUAACACAUGCAAGUCGAGCGGGCACUUUCGGGUGUCAGCGGCGGACGGGUGAGUAACGCGUGGGAACGUGCCCUCUGGUUCGGAAUAACUCAGGGAAACUUGAGCUAAUACCGGAUACGCCCUUUUGGGGAAAGGCUUGCUGCCGGAGGAUCGGCCCGCGUCUGAUUAGCUAGUUGGUGAGGUAACGGCGCACCAAGGCGACGAUCAGUAGCUGGUCUGAGAGGAUGAUCAGCCACACUGGGACUGAGACACGGCCCAGACUCCUACGGGAGGCAGCAGUGGGGAAUAUUAGACAAGCGGCGCAAGCCUGAUCCAGCCAUGCCGCGUGAGUGAUGAAGGCCUUAGGGUUGUAAAGCUCUUUUAUCCGGGACGAUAAUGACGGUAUCGGAGGAAUAAGCCCCGGCUAACUUCGUG